rnacentral:misc_RNA from 1 species
GUCUGAUUUUGUAUUUGAGGUGAUGGAGGAAGAAGGGUGGUUCGUGUGAGGAGCAAAUGUCCUUGGAGGCAAGUUUCCCGGAUCCCAUUCAUAAUAGUAUAUCGUAUGAUAUUUCUGAUAGUUCGAAACACAACUUUGUAGAAAUAAUCAUCAGGGUGGCUAACCCACGUGACUUCCCGGUAUCGUACAUACGAUGAAAAUCGCUCGAUUCAUGUAUUGAAGAUUUUAAUAAAAUAAAACAGUUGAAGACAAAAAACGGGUGUUUUUCUUGGCACAAAACGUCUGCCAGACUUUAUCAAUUCCGUCUUCAUACACUUCGCCCAGUGUGUACGUUACCUACACAUUUGGUCCUUGAGAAAUAUAUUUAGGUGAAGUGUUAGAGUCAAGUAAAAAAAAUUGCUGACAGACGUCAGCACUAAUUUUUCUAUAGUCGACACUUAUUUUAUCGACACCUUUCAAGUAAUAAGGAAUAAGGAAUUUAUAAGCAGAUAUAUUAGUACCUGAAUCGAGCAAUUCUGACCAUGUGUAUGAUAUCGAAACGUCACUUGUGUUAACCAUCAAGAUCAUUGUGACAAUAACAUUGCUGACCUGAAAAUCAAAUUAUAGUACAGUACGCAGGUAAUAAAAGGUUUAAUGCUACUGUUAUAGUUUACAUUGUUUUAAUAUCCCAUGAUAUCAAGAUAUAAUAACUGUGUUUUAGGUGCGUAACCGUAUUAGGAAGGUUACUUUGAAUGAUAAUUAAACGGUCUGUGCACCCUACCUAUCAGAUAAAUAUAACCGGCUGUUUGACGCAGUGCAGAUAUUAUUAUGUUACUAAUCCCCAAUGAUGACGUGAUUCCCGCACAAACGCGAGGACGCGUCCAUUUCUUGAUAAUAUAUAAAAUAACAAAUAAUAUUGCUUGUGCAAGUAAAUAUCAGUAUUUGUUUCAUUUUAACUGUCCAAUACGUAUAUUGCAAAAUAGCUCAGUCGGGUAGAAUGCACAUACCAAUAGCAAAACCUCAUGACGAUUGUUUUUCAGAUAAUCAUUUUUUUGUUUUUGUUUUCCCUAUCCGUUUUCAGUUCUGUUCCCCUAUUCUUUGCUUCUUUCUUUGGUGGCGUGUACGCGCAUAUAUGUCUUUAUACAACCUAAUUAUGUUCAUUAUUCACUUUCUAUUUAAAUGUUAGUACAUGCAUUUAAAUAAUAUCACGUAACUUUUCCCAUCUACCAUAUAUCGGUCUAAGAUUUUUCUCUGUCGUCGUGUCAUAGUGAAGUUGAAGGAAUCAAAUUUUAAAUUUUUUGAUGCAAAAUUUAAAAAAAAGUUGACUGCCGUCGCUGAGUUUCGAACCCAUACGGCAAAAGAUCUGAUGAACAUAAUCAGUAUGCUUUACUGCUGAGCUAAAUUGUAACUGGUACGAAAGUAAGAAAUGUUUACGUAUUCGUUAUGCUUCAUUUCAGUCUAUUUAUAGUUGUGUUUGUAAACAUCACGUUAUUGUUGGGGCAUAGUUCAACACAUUUUAGUGUUCAAACAAGGAAGUGGUUAUCUUGACACUGUCAAUACGUUCAAGAUCACAUAUUUCUCCAUAUGAAAUUUGGAUUUUCAUCAAUUUAAAAAGAUUAGAAUGAAUAAUUAUCUCGCAAGAAGUAUAUACGAAGAUUUACGAGACAAUAUUAGUCAGUUUUGUAGCUGCAGCACGCAAAACUGGCAAAAGAUCUGUGUCGCUACAUGUACCGCCAUUCUCUUACCAGCAUCAUUUGUCAUCCAGAUGACGGCGUUUCUGUUUGAUGAUUGGGCAGAACCUAAUGACAGUUUUGGCACGUUUGCUUGUAUGAAUUCAGGCACGUCGAAAGCAAUACUCCAGGAUUAGCAGUGCUAAAAGAUAUAAAGGCAAUCAACCGGAUGCAAGAAUUUGUGGUCUUGGAAUUACAGUUUGUUCCGCAGAGCUCUUGCUUGUUUGUUUUGGCUUUGGAGUGUGUGUCCGGUCGUGUAUGGGCGGCCCGUUUGAUCUUCAGUCAUGUAGCUUUUGCUACGUAUGUUUUAUUCCAACACUAAGCCUUGUGCACGGGAUUCUAAGUUUCACCUUAUGCAUGAUAACUGCAGAGUUUGUAUCGAGUAACAAACAACAAGAAUACACAUAUGGCAUUUCGUUCUAUUUGUUUCUGUUUAAUGGUUGUACAACCAUUGUAGUGUCACUAGCGUCAGCGUGUGGGUACUUGUGUAUUCAAUUAUGUAAUGUCAGACAUGAUUAUGAACACCAAAUCGGCAGUGAUGACGCGGAAAGGGAGACGACGCCUGUACUGCAGGCAGUGUGACAACGCACUGAGCCAUAUGCUGCAGUACGCCAUACGAUUUUUAAUAUAGCAUAAUGCUGCAGUUGUUAGAAACUAUCGAGGGCAUGCGGCAGUAUGCUAUUACAUUGUACUUGAUUUUUUAUGACUAGGUAUGAUGCGUGUAACAAAAGCAACAAUAUUCAGACAUAUUAACCUUUACAGGCUUGCGGGUAUUAUCGGGGGUCACUUAGUAUAUUUCUCAAAAUCCUAUUACAGUAAAAGAUCCUGUUCCACCAUGGUAAAUGGAAAUUGAACUAAUUCGCCAAAAUGUCGAUUUGCAAGUGCCACAGUCAAACAUAUGUUAAACAACAUCUCUGAAUACAGACCACCCUGUGAAUGAAGACCACCUAGGAUAGAACAGCUCACUGUUCAUUGUUGGUAGACAACAACAGCAACAUGAAUUUUAUUCAACCAGUAUUUGAAAAAACAACAUGGGGUUUAUGGAACAAUGUGAAUAUAUAUUACAGUCGUUCCGGUACAAGGUUAAAUCUUUCAAACAGUAAUAGCACUUUUACAGAAUAAAAACCCACUCUAGGGCCAUAACUACACAGUGACGUAGGUAGACUGGUUGGUUAACGAUCUUUGCCGAGAUAUUAUGACAACGAAUAGAGGAUAUUAGAUGACUGUCUUUUCAUAUUCAACUUAUUAAACGAAUUGAAUAAAAUAAUAAAUGCGAGGCUCUUUCUCGCAUUUUGUCUUUUUUAUUCAACGAGUUUAAUAAAUUCAACGUCGAAAGACACAAAUGUAAUAUUAUUUUUGUCACAUGUAACUUUUUCCUGCUGAAUUAUCAAAUUUAUUCUUUCAUAAACUGUUAUAGAACAAGUAAAUUCGAUGACGAUGAAGUUUGAAUAAUGCAGGGGCAAUGUUGUACCACUAGUAGAAUGGCCAACUCGGGUAAUUUUCUCGUUUCCUGUAUUCUUUAGUUAUAGUACAUACCUGUUCUUUGGAAGUAAAAAAAUCUAAACUCUCACAAUGAAAAAGACUUAAAUUAAUUAAAGUAUCUCAUGCAAAAGUUUAUACAGUUAUGGAAAUAUUUUGGCCAAAUGAAUUUGAAACUACAAAUUUAACAUUGACCUCAAAGCUAGGAGUGAAGUUAUGUUUAAUUUUUUUUUUUGGCAAAGUGUUUCCAAAUCCCUGGAUGGAUGGAAGAAUUAUGGAGAGGUCACAGAAUAGACAUUGUGAACAUGGACGGACAGUAAAUUGGGUCUUCUCUAUAGUUGAGAUCAGAAUGAAUACCUAUCUGGCAAGAACUAUAUAUGAAGAUUUACGAGACAACAUUAGUCAGUUUUGUAGCUGUAGCACGCUAAACUGUCAAAGGAUGUGUGUCGCUACAUGUACCGCCAUUCUUUUACCAGUAUCAUUUGUCAUCCAGAUGACGGCCUUUAUGAUUGAUGACUGGGCAAGCACUGAUGACAUUAUUCACAGGUUUGCUUGUAUGAACUCAGAUCAAUCGGACGCAAGAAUCUGUGGUAUUGGCAUAACAGUUUGUUCCGCAGAGCUCUUGCUUGUUUGUUUUGGCUUUGGUGUGUGUGUCCGUUCAUGUAUGGGAGGCCCGUUUGAUCUUCAGUCAUGUAGCUUUUGCUACGUAUGUUUUAUUCCAACACUAAGCCUUGUGCACGGUGUUCUAAGUUUCAUCUUAUGCAUGAUAACUGCAGAUUUUGUAUUGAGUAACAAACAAUUCGAAUACACAUAUGGCAUUUCGUUCUAUAUGUUUCUAGUUAAUGGAUGUACAACCAUUGUAGCGUCACUAGCGUCAGCGUGUGGAUACAUGUGUCUGAGAUCAUGUCAUGUCAGACAAGAUUAUGAUCAUCAGAUCGGCAGUGAUGACGCAGACAUGGAGACGACGCCUGUAUUACAGGCAGUGUGACAACGCAUUGAGCCAUAUUCGGCAGUAUACUAUAAGCUUACCGUCGCACUGAUGACGACAUUUGGACAUUGUCUGCUACAGUAAUUGUACAAUUGUUUGUUUGUUUUGUUUUGUUUUUGUUGGUUUUUCUAUUUGUUUGUUUUUCAUAUAGCAUAAUGCAGGAAUAGCUUUUAACUAUCAAUGACAUGUGCAGAAUGCUAUGACUUUCUUUUUCCGUAACUUGACAUGCUGCGCAUAACAAAAGGUUAACAGCAAUAUUCUGACAUAUGAAUAUGGCCGACUUGUUGGAAUUAUCGAGAGUAUAUAUCUCAGUGUGUAAAUCGGGAAAUCCUAUCAUAGUAAAAUCCUGUUCUGCUACGGUUAAUGGAAAGGGCAUAUGAUUGGACUGAUUUGCCAAAAUACUGAUUUGUUCCACAGUCAAAUAUGUGUUAAACAGCAACUCUGUAUCAAGACUACCCAGUUUUGAAGACCAGCUUGGAUAGAACAGUUCACAAUACAGAAACUGUAACUUUGGUGCAGUCUACAAAAUUUGCGAGAACCUACUCUUCUGAGCGUUAUACAAAAAUAUUAUAAAAAUAUCAAUCUUUAAACACACGUAUAUGACUUUAACGAGAUUUACCAUUUAGGUGUCCUCAGUCUGGGCACGAGCCAAUGUGAGGCACUAUGAACCUUCCGCAAUCCCCGCCCACCUUAACAUCGUGACAUCAAAUUUUACGAUACAAACCUAUUGCGUAAAAUCAGAUUUAUUUCCAUAUUAUUCCAUUAAAUUCGGGAUUACAUGAAAAGUUUGUUAAUUAAAUUUCUUUUUAUACAGACAUUUUGUUGAAUUUGGUCAAUGGCAUUCAAAAAUUACUUGCAUUAAGCUCCAUAAAAUUAGAUUAAAUAGUCCGAUUCAUUGUCCUUAAAUUUCAUUAAAUUUGUGAUUGUAUGAAAUUUUAGUAAAUUAAAUCUCUGUUUAUACAGACAUUGUUUGAAAUUCAAUAAGCAUUCAAAAUAUUCUUUAAACUGAUGUGCAGAACCUUUAAGUCAGCUAUGUCGGCUCCAGGUCAAUCACAACUCAAUGCUUUGCAUUUUGUGUCCACUCUGUAUCUCUUACAUCCCUUGAAUAAUCUUCGUGCAACUUGCAUCAAAUGAUCACCUCAUGAAUGCGAAUGUACAGAAUAUAGAACGCAUUAGUCAGCCACGUUGGCUCAGUUUCAAGGUCAUAACACAAGGUAAACGUUUUGAGCCUUUCAUUUUGUGUCCGUUCUGUAUCUCCUUAAUACCCCUGUCAAACAUACAGCGCAGAUAGCUACAUCUAGCCACGGAUAGAAAGUAGUAAUCCGUUUCUAUCCGUACCUGAGCCUUACCUAAAAAUAGAAAUCCGUUUCUUUCCUUACCAACAUUUGUUCAAAACGUAAUCAAGAUUUAUCCAAACAUGCAAGUUUCUCUAACUUUUAAAUGCACAGAAGUUGAGCGAUCCGUAGCCAUUUGAGCGUGACUUCAAUCCAACGUGGUUCGCCCUUUACUAUUUCCUUUCCCUCCAUCAAAAUUUAGCAUGAAUUAAUAUGUACUUGUUGGAUGUUUGAAGCAACCCGUCUGAAAUAUUUUUCCAUUACAGUUUCUUUUUGUUGUUGGCAAAUGCGUGGCUCUGGGGCUGUGUUUAUGAUGCUCUGUGCUUCCGAGAAA